CGACGUGAGGAACCUGCCUUGAAGAGGGGGACAACAGUUGGAAACGACUGCUAAUACCGCAUGACGCAUAGAGGUCGCAUGAUCUUUUAUGCCAAAGAUUUAUCGCUUCAAGAUGGUCUCGCGUCUGAUUAGCUAGUUGGCGGGGUAACGGCCCACCAAGGCGACGAUCAGUAGCCGGACUGAGAGGUUGAACGGCCACAUUGGGACUGAGAUACGGCCCAG
rnacentral:rRNA from 1 species